rnacentral:rRNA from 1 species
AUUGAACGCUGGCGGCAGGCCUAACACAUGCAAGUCGAACGAGUGGCGGACGGGUGAGUAAUGUAUGGGAAACUGCCUGAUGGAGGGGGAUAACUACUGGAAACGGUAGCUAAUACCGCAUACCAUCAGAUGUGCCCAGAUGGGAGUAGCUUGUUGGUGAGGUAACGGCUCACCAAGGCGACGAUCCCUCGCUGGUCUGAGAGGAUGAGCAGUCACACUGGAACGGAGACACGGGCAAGACUCCUACGGGAGGCAGCAGUGGGGAAUAUUGCAAAAUGGGCGAAAGCCUGAUGCAGCCAUGCCGCGUGUAUGAAGAAGGCCUUCGGGUUGUAAAGUACUUUCAGCAGGGAGGCGUUACCCACAGAAGAAGCACCGGCUAACUCCGUGCCAGCAGCCGCGGUAAUAC